GACAAAGGAUGAAAUCAUAGAAAAUGCACCUGAGGGUGUUAUGGAAGAUCAAUGGGCAACCCUUGUAAAUUCAUGGUUCACUGAGAAGAGUCAGAAGUUAAGUGAGAUUAACAAAGCAAAUGCAAAGAAGAAGAAAAAUGCACAUACUUGUGGAAGAAAAAGCUUUGCAAGGAAAAAAUUUGAAAUGAUUGAUGAAAAUGGACAAGUGCCUGAUAGAUUGACUCUUUAUGAAGAAACUCACAAGAGAAAGGAU